rnacentral:lncRNA from 10 species
CGGAAAACGAUUCCCGGCUAGAUCGCGCGCCGUGAAGAGAGGGAAGACAAAGAUGCGUCCGUGCCGGGCGUGCGCGAGGUCCUGCGCCCCCUGGCCCCGGCGCUGGGACAGUCUGCAGGGCAGGAGGGUGCACUCGGGACCCCGGGUCCCCCCGGGCCGGUCUCCGGGAUCGGGGCUGGGACCCAGGCGCUGGAAGGCGCGGCGCCCCGAACGCCCCGGGCCCUGGGGAGCACACAGAUUCCCGGGCGUGCCCCGGCCGUGCUGGCUGGGGAGCUGCAGGGGUCUGGUCCCGCAGGUAGAGCCAGUGAACGCGAGGCUCCGCAGGUAGAGCCGGUGAACGCGAGGCUCCGCACCUUGCCCCGGCCGCCGCGCCCUGCUUGCUCGGCCCCGCGCAGCUGUAAUGGGGGACCCUAGAGCGAAGAACCCUCGAGCGAAGAACUCUCGGGGAUCGCGGCCUCCGAAGGCCCCAUCCGGCAGAGGAGGCCCCCUGCUGCCUCCCCACCGCAGCUCCCCUAGGCGCAUGCUGGACUCCCAAGUCUUCCCUGGCGGUCCCCGGUACACUCCUAGACACUCACAUGCAUCCCCAGGGGAGCCAGUCUUCCGCCCCUACAGCGCGAGAAAUGCCCUGGAGGCCCUCGAAGGUCGUGCUGGAGACUCCGGUGUCACCUUUGGCCCUCUGGCCCUUUCACUGAGUCCCAGGCAGAUGUGAUGAGCCAUGGGAGAUGCACAGGAUGCCUUGUCUGGGCAGAGCGGGGGCUCAGGGGCCUCCCUCCCCCCAAAUCGUGGUGAUUUGCCCUCGUUUUCUUUUCUCCUGUGGCUGGAUUAGGCGAAGCUGUGGCAUGGGAAGUUCUGCCCAGGUCAGAAGGCACAGAAGGGCAGGGGGACUUGGGAGUGAGGACAGCGCAUCUUCCUGCUGCCCUGAGGGCCCGAGCUGAGACCCUAAGGAGAAGGGGCUGGGGGAAGCCGAAUCCUGAGAUGGACUAGGGUUAGAUACACUGUGGACUUGGCCUCUCCACACCCUGCCCCCACCAAACAUUCACAGGUUUCCAGGGCCAGAGCCGCCAGUGGGGGCUGCUCCUGGUAGGGGAGCUUUGUAGCCACAGGGCCAAACAAAGGGGCAAAGGCCAGGGCAGGCCAACGAGGUUCCUGACCUAUGCCCCUCCGUACUCAGAUGAGCACACCUUCACUGUCUACUUUCCACCUGCAUAGACAUUCUGCUUACCUGGCUAACACAAAGUUCAUCCAGCCUCCUGUGGCCCAGCCUUUCACCAAUGCCAAUAGUGGGAAGCAACAAUUAAGAAGAAGUGAUUCUGAGAAGAUAAAUGCAGUCAUCUUCUUGCCUUACUGUUAUGUGGUCACAUCCCAUAGGAAACCAGACACCUGUGCCUGAAGCUGAUCCACACAACACCCCCCACCUCCUCAAACCCCCACCCCCAUCUGUGUGAACGUGUGUGGGCCGGGGGAAAAAGAAGAACAAGGAAGGUCUGUGACUAUAUGUUUGGACCACAUGGCUGUGAUCCCUACCACCACUUAGUGACAGCAUACAUGAAUUGCAUGCUUAAUGCCGAUACCAUUCAGCCUAGAGGGGCUCCUGGACCAGGCCAGAUUUCCUACAAGGUGUUACCAAGUGGAGUUGGAAACUUGUCACCUCCUCACACCCUAACUUAUUUUUUAAAAAUAACAUAUGACUUUCCUAUAUAGGACAGAAGAUUAAUGCAUUGUUUUAUAAGCUGAACAAGAUGUUCCUUUACAAAACUUCCAAAUGACAGAAUACUAAUUUUUCCUUCACUCUUUGGCUGACUGUAAAAAUGUGCUUAAUUAAUAAAGACAUGUCCUCUCUCUGUGGGGAUGGCAGAAUAA